rnacentral:misc_RNA from 1 species
GCAGCUUUCAUGGCCACCCCAUACUCUAUCAUCAGGAUCUGCAGUUUGGCUCCCAUCAGGAUGGAAAUAACGACGCAUGAGAGGGUGGCUGCCUUGCCAAUACGGAUCAAGAUCUCGCCAGUAGACCGGAGCUUCCUUAUUGAAGUGAAAUUGCCAGGCAUGAUCACAUAAAUCCUCCCUCAAAAUGCGAGUCUUCGAACUCCAUAGGCGAUCGCUGGAAGCUACGGCGUACCAAGAUCGAGAGACAAG